GACGAACGCUGGCGGCGCGCUUAACACAUGCAAGUCGAGCGAGAACCCAGGCUUCGGCCUGGGGAAAGCGGCGAACGGGUGAGUAACACGUGGGUAAUCUGCCCUCGGCAUCGGGAUAGCCCGGGGAAACCCGGAUUAAUACCGGAUGGCCCAGCAGCUCUUCGGGGCGGCUGGAAAAGGUAGCUUCGGCCUCCGGCCGAGGAGGAGCCCGCGGCGGAUUAGCUUGUUGGUGAGGUAACGGCUCACCAAGGCUCCGAUCCGUAGCUGGUCUGGGAGGACGAUCAGCCACACUGGGACUGAGACACGGCCCAGACUCCUACGGGAGGCAGCAGUGGGGAAUCUUGCGCAAUGGGCGAAAGCCUGACGCAGCGACGCCGCGUGAGGGAAGAAGGCCUUCGGGUUGUAAACCUCUUUCAGGAGGGACGAAGCCACUCGGGUUAAUAGCCCAGAGGGUGACGGUACCUCCAGAAGAAGCCCCGGCUAACUACGUGCCAGCCGCCGCCGUAACAC
rnacentral:rRNA from 1 species